rnacentral:rRNA from 1 species
UACAGAGGUGCCAAGCGUUAGGCGGAAUCACUGGGCUUAAAGCGUGUGUAGGCGGUCUGUUAAGUACCUUGUGAAAUCCCCCGGCUCAACCGAGGAAUUGCGCUUCAAACCGGCGUGCUUGAGGAAGAUAGAGGUGGGCGGAACUGAUGGUGGAGCGGUGAAAUGCGUUGAUAUCAUCAGGAACACCGGAGGCGAAGGCGGCCCACUGGGUCUUUUCUGACGCUGAGGGACGAAAGCUAGGGGAGCGAACGGG